CCCCCCCCCCCCCCCCCCCCCCACACACACACAACGACGACGAGCAGCAGAGGAGGGAGGACGAGGAGCAUGACGGCGGCGGCGGCGGGGAGCAGCAGUAGCAGGCCAAGGCGCCAAGCAGCAGCGAGCCCCGACAUCUCCGCCACCGCGCAGCACAACGCCGAGCUCGCCGAGCUCCAUUGCGUCCUCUCCUCCCGCCGGAUUCGCCGCUCACGGCCACCAUCGCUCACCCGCGACCUUGCCCGUGGUUAGGGUUUCGGGUGUUCGUCACCGGUGGCCAUGGAGCUGCGCCUCCUCUCUACAUCUGAGGCGAGGAGCGGGGACGAGCCUCCUCCCAUUUACUCUCUCUGUGUGUGUUCAUCCGCUCGAGAACUGGAUCCCGAGGGACAGAGGUGCAACCCUGCUGAGCCGCUUGAUCCCAAAAUUAAAGAUGUGAUUGGCCUGGCAGCAGCUCGGGCCUGCUGAAGAAUGAAGACGCAACAACAGGGGGAGGGAGAUUGGAAUGCUUCAGGAUCCUGAAAUAUGAUGUUAAACCUGAGCAUUUAUCCAAACAAGGUUAAGGUCCUGAAAAGUUCUCAGUUACAUGGAAGUGGUUAUUUCCAGUCCUUUGUGGUUAUCAUUGGUGUUUCCUGGUUCAGAGCACCUCCAUGACGGCACCCAACAGUCUCGGAGCCAAGGUGAUAAGAGCAGGGAUGGACUCAUUAGCAUCAGCCAUGUGAAGAUGAUUGGAAAGUCUACUGGAGUAAUCCUUCUUCAUGGUAUACGUCACUAUGGCUGAGCAGGCAUCAAGUCAAGCAAAGGGGAUUUUAUGGUUGCAGCCGAGACCAGUGCUUAGAAGAAAUUGACAGGACAGAUGAAGUAUCCAUAUAUGAGAUAAAACCAGUGACAAUCCAUCUAAUACCAUGGGUCCACAUGAUGAGAAGGAUAUUUGCAUACCAGGGAAAGCAUCACAUAAGAGGUCAUUUUUCUCAGUUUCAUAGGGGACGAAAGUUACUCUGUCUGCACCAUGUCAGGAGGGUGCUUUUGGAUGUCGACUUCAUUUAUUUCAUAUGUAAGAGAUGUGUAGCAGAGACGUUCAAGCGGAAAAUGGCAAUUACUAACUACUCCCUCCGUCCGGGAAAAGUUGUCUCCAUGGUCUUUUUCUGAAAACACCCCCGGCGAAUUCCCGACAAACCCGCAGCUCCCCGUCGUCUCCCCCGCCCCUCUGUCGUGCUCCCUCGCGCCUCGGCAGCUCGGCUCCUCCGCAGCCCCCCGCAGGUCCCCGCGUCGCCGGAGCUCUCCUGCCCCAAGCCUCCCCCACCCCACGCCUCCCCCGCAGCUUCCCUCUCCUUGUUCCCCUCCUCUUUCCCCGUGGUGAUCCACGGCGAGGAGAAGGCUCGAUUUUUCUUCGAUCUACUCGGCGGCGGCCAUUUCCAAGUCCUCCUCCUCGGCGCUGCGGCGGCGGGGCCGAGCAGAAGAAGUGGAUGCGCGAGUAUGCGGCAAAGGAGGUCACCUUCGGCAUUGGCGCGCACGUCGGCAUGCUGUGGUGCGUUAACGAACUCGCGAACGCCGUCAAGGUCACCAUGUGCGGUGCGAAGGGAGGGGCCGCGGCGGCGGCGCCGUGGUGGAGGCUUCCCGUGGAGGUGCUGCUACUGUGGGCGACGCGCGCAGCGAGGAGCGCGUGGUCGGUGCCCGUCGCCAUCGCGCUGCUCGGGAUCGCCGUGCGGGGCCGCCGGAUGCGGAGGCAGAGCAAGGCCGUGGCGCGCUUGCGGCUUGUCCUUGACGAUAAGGUCUAGGUUAUUCAGGCCAAUGACAGCAGGUAGGCGGCGGCGGAAUGCCUACGAGAGGCGGGGCCGGUGAUUGGAUUCGUAGCAGCAGCAGCAGAGGCGGGGGCGGGGAAAGAGCGUUUGGCUACCAGCUCGGUGACCGUCGGGUGGGCGAUUCCGUCACUUAGGUGGCCGGCGCAAUCACGCAGGUAGGCGGCGGCGGAAUCGCGCAGGUGGUCGGCGGUUGGUCCUGGCGACGCGCGGUGGAAUCGGGGACCAGCUCGCCUCCGGUGGGCGGCGGAAUCAAUGGGCAACUGUUCUCGGGUGGGCGGCGCGGGUGUUCGUGGGUGUCUGCGAUCGCCGGAAUCGCCAGCACGGCGGCGGAAUCCGACCGCGCCGGCCCCUGGCGACGGGAGGAGGACGGGCGGAGGGAGGAGAAGGAGACUGGUACCUACUUCAGACACUUUUCAAAUUUCGAGGGUUGUUUUGCAAAAAGAACAUUACACUGCGCUCUGGACAACUUUUCCCGGACGGAGGGAGUACUAAGUAAACAAUCCAAAUGAUGUGCAUCAUGUAAUGAAGGUAAAGCUCUCUAUUUCCCAGAUUAGGGAACAGGGGAACUUAAGCUUAAGUUAGUUUUGCUCAUCACCUGAUCCUGCCACCGCGGCCCAUGGAGGCACUGUUGCAGGGGCCACAGCUGCCACCAUUCCUGUCCAAGACGUACGAUCUCGAAGGCGAGCCGCAGCUGGACGGGGUCAUCUCCUGGGGUCCUUCGUCGUGUGGAAUUCUUCCACCUUCGACCGGGACGUGCUCCCGCACAACUUCAAGCACAAGAACUUCUCCAGCUUCGUCAGCCAGCCCAAUCAUCUGUUCUCAUUUUUCUUUUCUUUUACAAUCUCUCACUGGAUUACUAUUCAUGAUGCCGUCCUCUGCUGGGGAGGCACUCUGUUUCUGUUUGGUAUCUGGCACUCUGUUUCGGAUGCUCUGUUUUUCGUUUUGUUCCUUCUGGUUUCUGCUGAUGUACUCAACCCAAAUCUGUUGUGUGUGUGUGUGUGUGUAUAUAUAUAUAUACUCUUUGUACUUCCCUUCUUAAUUUUAGUGAGAGGAGUUGUGGUUUGUAAUGCCAAUUUGGUGUUUCUUUUGUUAGCGGAAUCGUGGUCUGUAAUGCCAGUUUGGCCUUUCCCGAAAGAACUGGUUUAUCUUCAUCACUGAAAUAAUCCUGAUUCCUAAGGAGUUGAUCCUUGAUGGCAAGCUUAACCAUUUGCUGGGAUGCGACGCUGCUCUCGCUCAAAUGUGAAUGAUUAUCUUUUGAGAUAUAUAGGAUUGCUCUAAGAUGCUUUAUGGGCCCCGAGUGCCGGAAAGAUGUGUAGUUUAUAGAUUGGAGAGAUUCUUUUCAAACUCAACCUGUGUCACGAGCUACUUGGUUACUUCUCAUUACUUGGAGGAUGCAUGGAUUGGAGAGAUUAUGGAUGAGGACUGAAUUAUGUGUAGCUAUGAUAUCUUUUAAUUUUGGUCAUAUGUAUCUUACAAGAAUUCCAGUAUAUAUUUUGGUCACCUGUAUCAGAAUAAGGAUGCACAUUUAAUUAUUACAACCUCCAAGCCCAUCAUUUGGAAUUUUA